GUUUCUCGUAACCGAGGUCUAGGGAUAAAGGGACAGUAAUAGGUUUUAGUCACUAGGGUUUACGCACUCUAAAACCCCAUUCGAAAUUUUCAUAUCUUUUUUAUAUUCUUUCAGGACAAAAAAAAAGAGAAAGAAUGGCGAGUUCAAUGGCAAUUUUAUCAAGAAGGUUUUAUCGAUCUCUUCUCUCCAACCCUAAAAUCCCUCAACUUUCAGUGUCCUUUUGCACCACCACUACCACCACCCUUUCCUCCGCUGCUGAGAGUCCCGACUCCGAUAUUGACUCAAUUCCCGACUCACUUCCAUCGGAACCCUCAACGCCGUCAGAAUCUGCCAAGGACUCUAACACUCAGAAACGCCUAUACGAUCGUCAGCUUGAGAAUGGCCUUGAUAUGGGCAUUUAUAAGGCUAUAUUGGUUGGACAGGUAGGGCAGACCCCGGUGCAGAAAAAACUGAAGAACGGGAUGUCCCUUACAAUGUUUUCAGUGGGGACAGGUGGGAUUCGCAACAACAGGAGGCCUUACGAGAAUGAGGAACCCGUGGAGUAUGCUAAUCGCAGCGCUAUUCAGUGGCAUCGAGUCUGUGUUUACCAAAAGAUGUUAGGAGAUCUUGUCUUGAAGCAUGCUGUACCUGGGGAAAUCUGGAGAUGAAAAUCUUCACUGAUCCAAUCACUGGUCUGGUUCGACGCAUGAGAGAGAUUUCCAUUCGUCAAAAUGGUCGGAUUGUGUUUUUGGGAUAUGUGGAUGAUGCCUAACAACCAAGUUCUGGAGAAAUGAAAGGUGCUGGCUUUUACUAGAAAGCAUUGGUUUUAGUUAAAGAAUUGAAUUUGUUUCAAAUGGAACCAAUUUUGGUAUUUGUAAUUGUAUUAUGCAUAAGAUAGUUGAUGGAUGAAGAAGUUUGAGGCUUUGCAUCAACUGGUAUGAGACUUGAAAGUUGUUUAAAUUGCAUGUAAUUUUUAAACUACUUAUCUUUUUUUUUAAUAACUAAUAUCCGGCUGGGUCAGUGCUGUAGGCGCCCUAGCAAGUAAACGAAGAACAUUGGUAUUGCUUUUUGUUACGAAUUUUAUAGUUACCAUUUAAACUUGGAAGUAGUUGUGAAGCAAGCUUGCAUUUUGGAAAGAUGUAAGAAAUGUAGAAGUUGGAACUUGGAAGUAGAAGAAAAUGAAUCAUCGUUUAUUCAAAGUAAAUUAGAGCUUGGGUAAGACAAAAGCUAGUUGGGCUUAAGAAGCAAAAAGAAUAUAAAGCGUGGGGGUUGGAGAACAUUGGAGGCCCAGCUCAGCCCGUGUAACACUUAGUGCCCUUUUUUUUUAUUCCACUUCCCGAGUUGUACGACCACGACUAGCAUCUCUCUU